rnacentral:piRNA from 1 species
UUCAUUGUUUCAGAAUUGCCCCGGGA